rnacentral:tRNA from 1 species
GAGGGUGUAGCUCAGUGGCAGAGUGCAUGCUUAGCAUGCAUGAUGUCCUGGGUUCAACCCCCAGUACCUCUA